rnacentral:rRNA from 1 species
AUGGGACCGUUUCCUUCCUCUAAUGGGUAUACACAUAUUUUAGUUGUCGUUGAUUAUGUUACUAAGUGGGUAGAAGCUAUUCCAACUAGUAGUGCUGAUCAUAACACCUCUAUUAAGAUGCUUAAAGAAGUUAUUUUUCCGAGGUUUGGAGUCCCUAGAUACUUAAUGACUGAUGGUGGUUCACAUUUUAUUCACGGUGCUUUUCGUAAAAUGCUUGCUAAGUAUGAUGUUAAUCAUAGAAUUGCAUCUCCAUACCACCCACAGUCUAAUGGUCAAGUAGAACUGAGUAAUAGAGAGAUUAAAUUAAUUUUGCAAAAGACAAAGAAUUGGUCCAAGAAACUUGGUGAUGCAUUAUGGGCCUAUAGAACUGCAUAUAAAAAUCCUAUGGGUAUGUCUCCGUAUAAAAUGGUUUAUGGAAAAGCAUGUCACUUACCUCUCGAACUAGAACAUAAGGCAUAUUGGGCCAUUAAAGAGCUCAAUUAUGAUUUCAAACUUGCCGGUGAGAACAGACUAUUUGACAUUAGCUCACUUGAUGAGUGGAGAACCCAGGCCUAUGAGAAUGUCAAAAUGUUUAAAGAACAAGUUAAAAGAUGGCAUGACAAAAGGAUACAAAAGCAUGAGUCUAAUGUAGGUGAUUAUGUCUUGUUAUACAACUCUCGUUUAAGAUUUUUUGCAGGGAAACUCCUCUCUAAAUUGGAAGGUCCUUACGUUAUCGAUGAGCUCUAUCGUUCCGGUGCCAUAAAAAUUAACAACUUCGAAGGCACAAAUCCGAAGGUGGUGAACGGUCAAAGAAUCAAACAUUAUAUCUCAGGUAAUCCCAUAAAUGUUGAAACCAAUGUUAUUGACACCGUAACCCCGGAGGAGUACAUAAGGGACACUUUACAGAAUGUUUCAGACUCCAAAAAGGAAUAG